AACGAACGCUGGCGGCAUGCCUAACACAUGCAAGUCGAACGAGACCUUCGGGUCUAGUGGCGCACGGGUGCGUAACGCGUGGGAACCUGCCCUUAGGUUCGGAAUAACUCCCCGAAAGGGGUGCUAAUACCGGAUAAUGUCUUCGGACCAAAGAUUUAUCGCCUUUGGAUGGGCCCGCGUUGGAUUCGCUAGUUGGUAGGGUAAAAGCCUACCAAGGCGACGAUCCAUAGCUGGUCUGAGAGGAUGAUCAGCCACACUGGGACUGAGACACGGCCCAGACUCCUACGGGAGGCAGCAGUGGGGAAUAUUGGACAAUGGGCGAAGGCCUGAUCCAGCAAUGCCGCGUGAGUGAUGAAGGCCUUAGGGUUGUAAAGCUCUUUUACCCGGGAUGAUAAUGACAGUACCGGGAGAAUAAGCUCCGGCUAACUCCGUG
rnacentral:rRNA from 1 species